rnacentral:rRNA from 1 species
UACGGGGGGGGCAAGCGUUGUUCGGAAUUACUGGGCGUAAAGGGCUCGUAGGCGGCCAACUAAGUCGGACGUGAAAUCCCUCGGCUUAACCGGGGAACUGCGUCCGAUACUGGAUGGCUAGAGUUCGGGAGAGGGAUGCGGAAUUCCAGGUGUAGCGGUGAAAUGCGUAGAUAUCGUUUGGAACGCCAAUGGUGAAAACAGGUCGCUGGGGAUGAGCUGACGCUGAGACACGAAAGCCAGGGGAGCAAACGGG